UUUUGAUGAACGCUAGCUACAGGCUUAACACAUGCAAGUCGAGGGUCAGCAUGGUCUUAGCUUGCUAAGGCCGAUGGCGACCGGCGCACGGGUGAGUAACACGUAUCCAACCUGCCGUCUACUCUUGGACAGCCUUCUGAAAGGAAGAUUAAUACAAGAUGGCAUCAUGAGUCCACAUGUUCACAUGAUUAAAGGUAUUCCGGUAGACGACGGGGAUGCGUUCCAUUAGAUAGUAGGCGGGGUAACGGCCCACCUAGUCUUCGAUGGAUAGGGGUUCUGAGAGGAAGGUCCCCCACAUUGGAACUGAGACACGGUCCAAACUCCUACGGGAGGCAGCAGUGAGGAAUAUUGGUCAAUGGGCGAGAGCCUGAACCAGCCAAGUAGCGUGAAGGAUGACUGCCCUAUGGGUUGUAAACUUCUUUUAUAAAGGAAUAAAGUCGGGUAUGCAUACCCGUUUGCAUGUACUUUAUGAAUAAGGAUCGGCUAACUCCGUGCCAGCAGCCGCGGUAAUACGGAGGAUCCGAGCGUUAUCCGGAUUUAUUGGGUUUAAAGGGAGCGUAGAUGGAUGUUUAAGUCAGUUGUGAAAGUUUGCGGCUCAACCGUAAAAUUGCAGUUGAUACUGGAUAUCUUGAGUGCAGUUGAGGCAGGCGGAAUUCGUGGUGUAGCGGUGAAAUGCUUAGAUAUCACGAAGAACUCCGAUUGCGAAGGCAGCCUGCUAAGCUGCAACUGACAUUGAGGCUCGAAAGUGUGGGUAUCAAACAGGAUUAGAUACCCUGGUAGUCCACACGGUAAACGAUGAAUACUCGCUGUUUGCGAUAUACGGCAAGCGGCCAAGCGAAAGCGUUAAGUAUUCCACCUGGGGAGUACGCCGGCAACGGUGAAACUCAAAGGAAUUGACGGGGGCCCGCACAAGCGGAGGAACAUGUGGUUUAAUUCGAUGAUACGCGAGGAACCUUACCCGGGCUUAAAUUGCAGAUGAAUUACGGUGAAAGCCGUAAGCCGCAAGGCAUCUGUGAAGGUGCUGCAUGGUUGUCGUCAGCUCGUGCCGUGCGGUGUCGGCUUAAGUGCCAUAACGAGCGCAACCCUUGUUGUCAGUUACUAACAGGUUCCGCUGAGGACUCUGACAAGACUGCCAUCGUAAGAUGUGAGGAAGGUGGGGAUGACGUCAAAUCAGCACGGCCCUUACGUCCGGGGCUACACACGUGUUACAAUGGGGGGUACAGAGGGCCGCUACCACGCGAGUGGAUGCCAAUCCCCAAAACCUCUCUCAGUUCGGACUGGAGUCUGCAACCCGACUCCACGAAGCUGGAUUCGCUAGUAAUCGCGCAUCAGCCACGGCGCGGUGAAUACGUUCCCGGGCCUUGUACACACCGCCCGUCAAGCCAUGGGAGCCGGGGGUACCUGAAGUGCGUAACCGCGAGGAGCGCCCUAGGGUA
rnacentral:rRNA from 1 species